rnacentral:rRNA from 1 species
CUGGCUCAGAACGAACGCUGGCGGCGCGUCUUAAGCAUGCAAGUCGAACGGCAAGAGGUAGCAAUACCUCCUAGAGUGGCGGACUGGUGAGUAACACGUGGGUGACAUACCCUUCAGAUGGGGAUAGCUAUUAGAAAUAGUAGAUAAUACCGAAUACGAGCACAGGGGUUAGAGAUCUGUGAGGAAAGGAGCUAAGGCUCCGCUGAAGGAAUGGCCUGCGGCCCAUUAGCUAGUUGGUGAGGUAAGAGCCCACCAAGGCGAUGAUGGGUAUCCGGCCUUAGAGGGUGAACGGACACAUUGGGACUGAGAUACGGCCCAGACUCCUACGGGAGGCAGCAGCUAAGAAUAUUCCGCAAUGGACGAAAGUCUGACGGAGCGACGCCGCGUGGAUGAAGAAGGCCGGAAGGUUGUAAAAUCCUUUUGAAACUGAAGAAUAAGCGUUGUAGGGAAUGACAGCGUGGUGACAGUAGGUUUUGAAUAAGCAACGGCUAAUUACGUGCCAGCCGCAGC